UAGGAUUUGUCCCUCUCUCUGAGAGAGAUAUCUUCUGGGCCCCUCGAUAAGUGAGACUGAGAAAUGCAUGGCCGUGCUCAAAUGAAUUGAUAGUGUGAUCAAUAUCAUUUGAAUUUAUCAGUCUACUUAGAGAUCGAGAAAUCAUAAGUUUGAACAUUAUAAGUUUGACAUUGACCAUGAUUUAUGUUCAAACUAGAUAUCGUGUGACAAAU
rnacentral:lncRNA from 1 species